rnacentral:rRNA from 1 species
GCAUAUCAAUAAGCGGAGGAAAAGAAACCAACAGGGAUUGCCCUAGUAACGGCGAGUGAAGCGGCAACAGCUCAAAUUUGAAAGCUGGCUUCGGCCCGCGUUGUAAUUUGGAGAGGAUGCUUUGGGCGAGGCUCCUUCUGAGUUCCCUGGAACGGGACGCCACAGAGGGUGAGAGCCCCGUAUAGUUGGAAGCCAAGCCUGUGUAAAGCUCCUUCGACGAGUCGAGUAGUUUGGGAAUGCUGCUCAAAAUGGGAGGUAAAUUUCUUCUAAAGCUAAAUACCGGCCAGAGACCGAUAGCGCACAAGUAGAGUGAUCGAAAGAUGAAAAGCACUUUGAAAAGAGGGUUAAAUAGCACGUGAAAUUGUUGAAAGGGAAGCGCUUGUGACCAGACUUGCGCCCGGCGGAUCAUCCGGUGUUCUCACCGGUGCACUCCGCCGGGCUCAGGCCAGCAUCGGUUCUGGCGGGGGGAUAAAGGCCCAGGGAAUGUGGCUCCUCCGGGAGUGUUAUAGCCCUGGGUGUAAUACCCUCGCCGGGACCGAGGACCGCGCUCUGCAAGGAUG